AACGAACGCUGGCGGCAUGCCUAACACAUGCAAGUCGAACGAAACGUCCGGGUUUAGGGGCGUACGGUGGCGUAAGGGGUGGGAACCUGCGCUUAGGUUGGGAAUAACUCCCCGAAAGGGGUAGUAAUACGGGAUAAUGUCUUCGGACGAAGGAUUUAUGGACUUUGGAGGUGCCAACGUUGGAUUAGCUAGUUGGGAUGGUAAAAGCUUACCAAGGCGAGGAUCCGUAGCUGGUUUGAGAGGAUGAUCAGCCACACUGGGACUCGGCCACGGCCCAGACUCCUACGAGAUGCGGGAGAGGGUGAUAUAGGACCGUGGGCGAAAUGCUGAACCACCACGGCCGGGAGAACGAUGUUGGCCUUGGAGUUGUAAUGCUCUAUUACCCGGGCUGAUAGUGACGGUACCUGGAGAAUAAGCUCCGGCUAACUACGUG
rnacentral:rRNA from 1 species